rnacentral:rRNA from 1 species
CAAAAGCGGAGGAAAAGAAACCAACAGGGAUUGCCUCAGUAGCGGCGAGUGAAGCGGCAAGAGCUCAGAUUUGAAAUCGUGCUUUGCGGCACGAGUUGUAGAUUGCAGGUUGGAGUCUGUGUGGAAGGCGGUGUCCAAGUCCCUUGGAACAGGGCGCCCAGGAGGGUGAGAGCCCCGUGGGACCGGCGGAAGCAGUGAGGCCCUUUGACGAGUGAGUUGUUUGGGAAUGCAGCUCCAAGCGGGUGGUAAAUUCCAUUAAGCUAAAUUUGGCGAGAGCCGAUAGCGAACAAGUCUGUGAAGGAAAGAUGAAAAGCACUUUGAAAAGAGAGUGAAACAGCACGUGAAAUUGUUGAAAGGGAAGGGUAUUGCCCCGACAUGGGGAUUGCGCACCGCUGCCUCUCGUGGGCGGCGCUCUGGCUUUCCCUGGGCCAGCAUCGGUUCUUGCUGCAGGAGAAGGGGUUCUGGACGUGGCUUUCGGAGUGUUAUACCAGGCCCAGAUSSAGCGUGCCGGCACUCGAGGGCUGCGSCCGUGUAGUAC